CCGCGCCCGUUUUGGUAUUCGAUUAGAAUGCGAGUCGAGAGAGUAAGGUCUCGGCGGACCGCUGAGUAACACGCGGAUAACAUGCCCUGGGGUGGGGGAUAACCUCGGGAAACUGAGAAUAAUACCCCAUAGGUUUAGGGUGCUGGAAUGCUUCUAUGCUGAAAACUCCGGUGCCCCAGGAUUGGUCUGCGGCUUAUCAGGUUGUAGUGGGUGUAACGGACCCACUAGCCUAUGACGAGUAUGGGCCUUGAGAGAGGAAGCCCACAGAUGGACUCUGAGACAUGAGUCCAGGCCCUACGGGGCGCAGCAGUCGCGAAAACUUCACAAUGGGAGAAAUCCCGAUGAGGGAAUACCAAGUGCCAGCACUUUUGUGUUGGCUGUUCCCCUGUCUAAAAAACAGGAGAAGUAAGGGCCGGGUAAGACGGGUGCCAGCCGCCGCGGUAAUACCCGCGGCCCGAGUGGUGGUCGAUAUUAUUGAGCCUAAAACGUCCGUAGCCGGUCUCAUAAAUCCUUGGGUAAAUCGGCCAGCUUAACUGUCCGAAGUCCGAGGAGACUGUGAGACUUGGGAUCGGGAGAGGUCAGAGGUACUUCUGGGGUAGGGGUAAAAUCCUGUAAUCCUGGAAGGACCACCGGUGGCGAAGGCGCCUGACUAGAACGAAUUCGACGGUGAGGGACGAAGCCCUGGGGCGCAAACGGGAUUAGAUACCCCGGUAGUCCAGGGUGUAAACGCUGCGGGCUUGGUGUUGGGGGUCCUUUGUGGGCGCCCAGUGCCGGAGAGAAGUUGUUAAGCCUGCUGCUUGGGGAGUACGUCCGCAAGGAUGAAACUUAAAG
rnacentral:rRNA from 1 species